AUUGAACGCUGGCGGCAUGCCUUACACAUGCAAGUCGAACGGCAGCACGGGUGCUUGCACCUGGUGGCGAGUGGCGAACGGGUGAGCAAUACAUCGGAACAUGUCCUGUAGUGGGGGAUAGCCCGGCGAAAGCCGGAUUAAUACCGCAUACGAUCCACGGAUGAAAGCGGGGGACCUUCGGGCCUCGCGCUAUAGGGUUGGCCGAUGGCUGAUUAGCUAGUUGGUGGGGUAAAGGCCUACCAAGGCGACGAUCAGUAGCUGGUCUGAGAGGACGACCAGCCACACUGGGACUGAGACACGGCCCAGACUCCUACGGGAGGCAGCAGUGGGGAAUUUUGGACAAUGGGCGAAAGCCUGAUCCAGCAAUGCCGCGUGUGUGAAGAAGGCCUUCGGGUUGUAAAGCACUUUUGUCCGGAAAGAAAUCCUUGACUCUAAUACAGUCGGGGGAUGACGGUACCGGAAGAAUAAGCACCGGCUAACUACGUG
rnacentral:rRNA from 1 species